rnacentral:misc_RNA from 1 species
GGUGACAGCGAAGGGGAGUAGCCCCCAAUCGGAUAUUCGACAUACUGGCCGCGCAGCGAUGCGGAAGCGGCCCGGUUAUCCGAACCGGUCACGGACCGGUGGGCGAGACCUUCGGCCGUAGA